rnacentral:lncRNA from 1 species
AUCUUCUCAAUCACACCAUUGUCCUUUUCGUUUGGUGUGGCCAACACUACAAACGCUCCUGUGCUCGACAGUGAUGGCAACGAGCUCCGCACAGGCACCCCAUACUUCGUUGUGUCGUCGAUAUGGGGUGCUGGUGGUGGGGGGCUUGCCCUAGGCAUGCCUAGAGGAAAGCCAUGCCCGGAAGUCGUUGCUCAAAGAGGAUCCGGUGACGAUGGUAUUCCGGUGAUAUUUUCUAAUUCGGACUCCAACGAUGGCGUUGUUCGCCUAUCCUCUGACAUAAACAUAGAGUUCAUUCCCCUCAGACCCAGAUUUUGCCAAACAACAACGGUGUGGAAGGUCGAUGAUUACGACCACUCAGCCGGAAAAUGGUGGGUGAUAACCGAUGGGGUUAAAGGGAACCCAGGUGCCAACACUUUGACCAGUUGGUUUAGAAUAGAGAAGGCGGGUGAUCUUGAUUACCCAUUUAAGUACUGCCCCGCUGUAUGUGGAACAUGCCCAGCCUUAUGCAACAAAAUUACGAGAGACUCAGAUGGAGAAAUGAUACGUUUGGCUCUCUCCGCUGGCCAUGGAUGGCCAUUUUUCUUUAAGAAAUUUCAAACAUCAGCCAUGGAGAUUGAACAAGUUGUUCAUAAUUAGAUUGAAAGCAAUCAUUAUGCAUGAACUAGUAGUUACUAUACAAUAUUAGCUUCAAGUAAAUAAUGCUGGGAGAACUGAUUGUUAAGAUUGCCUUGUUUGAAGCAGCAGCAUGUAUAUAUAUAUGCUUGCUUACAAGGUUUGUCUCUCAGAGUCCUUCUCUUUGUACUCUUUUCAGCUUAAUAUAUAAACUGUCUACUUAUUUACUUCUUUUAUUGCCAUUGAUUCUAGUAGUAUUAGACUCAUUAACUUGGAUACAUUGUCUUGUAAGAGAUAGCUUAUCUCUUAACAACUGUUUGGGUCAACAAAAUUAAUGUAUAUAUGAAAACGAAUAUUGAAUUUGGAUGUCCAAUCAAUUUUUUUAAUUAAUUAAUUAAAAAGAAUUGUUUUAAUUCAAAAAAUCUAAAAGAAUUUGAUAAAAAAUGUGGAAGGGCACACUUGUAUGAUGAAUAGUAGUGAUAAUAAUGAUAGAAGUCGUUUUCCUAGCACAAGUAUGGGAUUCGUCCAUUUGGUUUUAUAUUUAUCCACUUGCCUGAGUGUUUAAGAGUUAAAAAGGACAAAACUAUUAAGUAGAAAACACCAAACGAAUUGGAAGGCUUUUGUCUUCUUCAAUUAGUAUGACCUAUAUUUCUUAUUAAACUUCGUAUUUUACAUUCAAUAUCAUCAUCGCAAUCAUUUUAAUUUAUUUUCAUGAAUAAACUUUUAUGUCCCAUUUUAAUUGAAUCAUUAAAAAUUAUUAAUUGAAUUUUUUUUAAGUCAAGUGAUACUAAUUUGAUUUUUUUAAAAAAGUUGUUUGAAUUAAUUUGAUUUCGUGUCAUAAUUGACAUAAAUGGCCAUUGUGAAUGGCAACAUCAAUAGUUAUUGAGUACAGCGGCUAAAAUUUUCAGUUAAAAAAAAAAGAAUGAAAGGAAAACAAAAAGAAAAACGUGGAAAGAAAGAAAGAAAGAAAGAAUAAUAAUAAUAAUAAUAAUAAUAAAUAAAAUAGAAUUGUGGGGGCGAUGCUUUUGAACAAAUCUUGAUUUAAACUAUAUAAAGAAAAUAUGUGUUAUAUAUAUAAUUAAUUAUGUACUUAUACUUAAUAUAUUAUAUAUCUAAUGUCAUAUUUUCAUAUUCUCAGGAAGUGGUGACAUACAAAUACUUGAUUCGAUUUAUUUCUUUAGCUCCCCGUGAAUUGUAUGUUUGUAACAUUAGGGAUAGAAUUUCUUCAAUUAUCCAAUUGACUGGACGUAUUGUGUCGAUUUUUUUUUAGUAAUAUACCUAGAAAUACCCGUUGAUUCUUUAUAAACGCUGUUUCGAACACAACUGGUACACUCUAAAAUAAUUUACUUGAACAUCAUUACUCUUAGCCAUGAACCUCCUUUGAGUUUUUAAUUCACCCAACUUUUUUAUUUUCCGAUCAAAAGCAAAGAAGAAAGGAAUGAAAAGAAAAGAAAGAAAUCAAAGUUGCUAACUCAAAACCAAAUCCUGAAAAUUUUCAUUUCAAUGAAUAUAGUAAGUAAAUAUAGAUUUAUAGUAAUAGCAAAUAAUAAGAAUUAAGUAAUAUAACGAUUUUUAAUUCUAUUUAGAAUCAAUUAAAAUAUUCAAAUAAAUAUUCAAUUAAAAUAAAUUAAACUGUAUAAAUUUUAUAAUUUUAAAUUAUUAUUUUUGUAUUAAUUUAAAAACAAAAUAAAUAUUAUAUACAAUGAUUUAGUUACAGCGUGUCAGCUUGAAGUCUAAGACUUUAUAACAUAUAAAUUUAAUAGAUAAUUAAUAACUAAAAAAUUAAAUAGCAAAAGCAUAAUUGCGCCACUUCUCACCAUUUUAAUGUAUGCAACUUAUUAUAUAUUUAUAUAUAUUAUCAUUUUAUUUUAAAUAAUUUAAUUUUAUAAAUUUAGGGAUAAAUCUCAAAAUUAUACAUGAACUUUAAUUUAAUAUGCAAUUGUAUAUAUAAACUUUAAUUUGGUACAAUUAUACACGUGAUACUUUAAUUGUGGUUUAAAUACUCACUUGAAACUUUAGUUUUGAUUUAAUAAUGCAUAUUUAAAUAAAUAAAUACAUCAAUUUUUUUAUAUUGGGUAAAUAUAAUUAUUUAUGUAUGCAAUAUAUAACAUAAAAUGAUGUUAUAUCAAUAAUUGUGUUAAUAAUUUUCAAGAAUUGGAUCAAAUCAAAAUUUCAUGUAUAAAAUUGAACAAAAUCAAAGUUAAUGUAUACAAUUGCACAUUAAACCAUAAUUCAUGUAUAUUUUUUUGUAUAUAUCCCAUAAAUUUAUUUCAUUAACUUUUUACCUAUAUCAUAUAUAGAGUUGUUCGUGAACCGAGCCAAGGAAUGCCUGCUCGAAAAAAUGAGAGGGUUUGGCAAAAAAAUAUAUGCCUAAAAAAUGGGCUUGGAUAAAAAGACAAGGCCCGUUUAGAAAAUGAACCGGCAUUGAGUAGGGUUUUUUUGUCCGGGCUCAGCCUAACCCGAAUUUUCAAUUAAAAAAAACCUUGUUGUUUUUGCUGCUAUUUUUCCAUAUCUUGGUGUUGUUUUCUCACUUUUUGCCGCUAUUUUACUACCAUUUCACUAUUAUGUUACUACUAUUUUUUUUAAUGUUUGGAUAUAGUAUAAUAAUUGUUUUAUUGUUAAUUUUAUCACUAUUUUAGAGACAUUUGUUUGUUAUGUUGUACUUAUUUUAGUUUUUAUUUAAGUAUAAAAAAAUUUAAAAUUUAUUUUCAAUUUAUUGAUAAACAUGUAAUUUAAUAUUUUCAGUGUAUUUAUUGUAUUAUAUUUGUUAAAUUUAUAUAAAAUUAAAAUUAAAAAAAUAUGGACCGAGAUGGGAGUUUAACAAAAAUUUAGGCCCAUUUUUCAAGUCGGGCCGAUCUCAAACCUAACAAUCGGACUUAAAAUUUUGUUAGAGCUCGGCCCAUCCCAUGAACAACUCUAAUUAUAUAUAUAUGUCAUUCUCUAAUAAUAAUAAUAAUAAUAAUAAUAAUAAGUGGAUAACAUAAAACUAGUAGUAAAGAGUAAGAAGACAAAGAAGAAUUAAGUGGAUAACAUAAAACGUGCGAAAACAUUUAUCUUCAAUUCUGACACAUAAAGCUAGUAUUUUUGGGUAAAGUAUAGAAAUGGUGAUUAAAUUAUUGUUGAUGUUCUAUUUUAAUUUUUAAUUUUUCUAUUUUAGUUAUUAAAUUAUUUGAAAUUAAAUUUUUUGGUUAUCAAAGGUUAACAGUAGUUUGAAAUUUAACAGAAAUAUUGAUGUGAACUUUUCUUAUUGAUUUAAUAAUAAAUUUAGCCUUCUAAUAUUUAUAUAUUCUAUUAAUUUGAUACUAAAUAUAAAAAUUUAACAAAUUUAACCUUCAAUAUUUACAAAUUUUGUUAUUUUAAUUCAAAUUCUAAAAAAAAUUUAAUAAAUUUAACCCUCAACAUUAAAAAAUUUGAUAAAUUUCAAUUUUUAAAAUUUUGUAAAUUCCUAAAAUAUAAAGCAUCAUUCUCCACCUCAUAGGAUUCCAUGUAAAUGGAUUUUCUUGAAUUCUUUACCAAGUUGUCUUGAGUUUAAUUUCUUCUUAUUUAGUUUGUGGAAUAAAUGGCAUAUAGUUAGAUGUCACUGCAGCUGACAAUGAAAGGUUUGACAAAGUUGAUAAAUUCAGAGCUUUUGAUGCUGAGCUUCAAAUCAGUCUUGCCUCCACUCACCCAAGAAAUCAACUUUACAAUUUUUAUUAAGUCUUAACUAGAUUAAUAUGAGUAUUGUUAUCAAUAUAGGAGAAAGUGAAUUUUAGUGCGUUGAAACACAUUAUCUUCUUAUUGAUGAAUUGAGGAGGGGCUAUGAAUAGUUUUAAAUAUUAUAUUAAAAAAGCAGAGAUAAUUGAAACCUACAAUAAUAUUGUUCAAAAAAAUUACCUAAAAACACGAAAUCUUACUCCCUGAAUUUUCUAGAAACACAAAUAUUUCUCCCUGCCUUUGAUGGUGUAUACAUGCAUGGCCAUGUGUGAGCUCCUGCAUUUUAACUAAUCAACACAGAUAAUACCCUCAAUGAGACAUUAAAAUUAACUUUUAUUUUUGUUUUUUCAUAAAUUUUAUAAUUUUGUAUUUCAAUGAAAAAAUCUAAAUCUAAGUUGAUCCGAGUCCAAAAAAAAAUCUGAAGCUGUAAAAAGUUUGAUCUGAGGCUGCUCAUUUGCCACCUCUAAUAACCAUUUGAUAGAGGUUUAAUAUAAAGGAAUUUAGAUUUUAGGAAUUUAUAAAAUUUUUAAAAUUAAUUUUUUAUUUGUAAAUACUAAGGGAUAAAUCUAUUGAAGUUUUUAAAAUUUGAACUGAAAUGUCAAAAUUUGUAAACAUUGAAGGCUAAAUUUGUUUAUUUUUUCUAUUUAAGACCAAUCUGAUAGAAUGUGUACACAUUAGAAGACUAAAUUUAUUAUUAGACCAAUAAAAAAAUGCCCAACUUAACGCUUUCUCAAAUUUCAAACCGAUGUUAAUAUUCAAUGACCAAAAUUUUUUAUUUCAAAUAGUUUAGUGACCAGAAUAGAAAAAAAAUUAAAAGUUUGAUGACCAAAAUAGAACGCGGAUAAUAAUUUAAUGAUAUUUUUAUACUUUAUCUGUUUUUUAUGAUUAUUUAUACAUAUCAAGUGGAGCUAAUUUAGGGAAAAGAAUCAAUGGUUAAGGUUGUUGUUGAUACUUAAUGAUCAGGGUCCAAAUUUUGCUAAUGUAAUUUUCCUUAUCAUAAUUUGUAUCUUAAUUUUGUUACCAAAAAAAUAUUAGUAAUAAAUAAUAUAUGCUCGAGAAAUGUACGUAUGAUUGAUUUAAACAAUACAUGUUGGAGUAAUUUACAUAUGGAUUUAAAAUAAAUUUUAAAAAUAAAAUAAAAUUUUAAAAAUCCAAAAGUAUUUUUUCUUUUAAAAAAAUUUAAAAAUAAUUUUUAAAUUAUUUACAUGAUUGAUUUAAAGGAUUUCUUUCUAUUAAUUAUUUUUAUAUUAAAUUUAUUUUCCUUUAUGUAUAACAUUUAAAGGGUUUGUAUAUAUGCUAACUCGCGAGUCAAUUAAAAUUUGUAUUAUAUUCAUUGAAUUUUUUUAAAAUAUAUAUUUUAUUAAUUUAUUUAUUUAUUUGAGACCCAUGAUAAACUUGUAUUUAAAGUUAUUGGUGCACACUAUAAAUUCAUAUAUUGAAAAUGAUAGGUGCUAAAAGUAACAUGUUUUAGUCUCAUUCUUAAUGUGUUUUUGGAUGAUUAUUCGAUAUAAAAUGGUUAAUUUUAUGCUACUAAACUUUUCAAUUUACGUUCUACACUUAAUAGAGCAUUUAGGAGCAAAAGAAGCGAAAAACGAGCGAAAAUAAAAAAAAUAGGAGCAAGUCUCAAAAGCCACACAGGCUGAGCCAUUCCACACGGGUUGGACACAUAACCGAGUGAGCCACACGACCAUGUGCUAGACUGUGUGGAAAUCGCAAAUUACACUCCAAACGGCGUGAAAACACGUUAAUUUUAAGGUUUUUUAAGCAUUUUAAUACCUAUACAUGACAAAGAUAAGAAGAGGGGAGAGAGUCGUCAGAAAAUAUUAAAGAAAACAACUUAAAAAACACCAUUGAAGCUAACUUUGAAGCAAAUUUUCAUCAAGAUUGAAGAUCUCAUUUUGAUUUUUUUGAAGUUUAUUAUGAGUUUCUUUAUUUAUUGUAGUUAUACUGUCUUUAGGAUGUUUUUAUUUGCUAUCAUGAACGAAUUUUCUAAAUACCUAGGGAGAUGAAUCCUAUCAUGAAUUAUGUUAUUUGAUUUCUAUUUUUACGUAAUAAAGACUUAGAUCUUAUUCUCAAUUAUGUGUGCUUAAUUCUUGGUUUAAUAUUUCUAGACUAUUAAUCAAUGUUUGAUGUGCUUAAAUCAGAGGAGGAAUAAACCCUAUUUAAGAGUAGAUCUAGCGUAAAUGAGUGGAGUUGCAUGCAAUCCUAGAAAUAGGACAACAUAAAUCUACCGUAAUAGAUCCAAAUCUAAUAGGGGAAUCUAUAGAUCGAGUUAAUACGAUGAUAGAGGUUUUAAUUAGAAAUAAAUUUCAGUUAAUUAACCUAGAGUCAGUUACUCUUAGUCUUGAAGAGAUAUAUUAGCAUAAUUUAGGGAUUUUUACAGAUCAAUAUUCUAAGUGACGAAGUUGUGUAAUAUAGAUUGAUAAUGACAUAUGAAGUCUAGGUAGAUUCUUUCCUAGGUAUUGUCUCGCUCUUGGUUAUUAUUUGAUUAUUUUCUUGAUUUGUGCUUUGUUGUGUUAUUUAGUUAACUAAUUUAGUUAAUUUUAGUUCCAACCAAUCACUCCAAUUUAUCAGUUAAAUAAUAGAAAAGACGGUAAUUACUGGUACUUUUAGUCUUUGUGAAAACGAUAUCUUUGCUCACUAUAACUAUACUAUUAAUUGAUGUGCACUUGUCUGAGUUAGAUUUUUAGUUGGUUUACGACUGCAAUCAAAAAACUCAUUAAGUUAGCACAAACUAAGUUAAUUAUUCGUUGGUUGCUUUAUUUUUUUUCCUGAAGUUUCGAUUUCAUCUUUCAUUAUGUACAACAAUUUUGGUAUAAAAAUAUCAAAUUCUCGACACUUAAUAUAUACCUUUGAAAUAUAAACACAUGCAUCAAUUUUUUUAGGUUCCUCACAACUUACUUGUCCAAAAUUCUUGUAUCUUUCAGUUCUCCUGAUUGAAUCAAAAUUUGACUUUGUAAUUAUUUUUUAAGGACCUCAAACUAUCAAUUUAUAGUAUAAAUUUUCAAUAGCUUUCAUUCUUUACAAAUUGGUCCCUAAUUAAUCAACAAUGGUAUUAAAGCUUAAGCUUAGGGUCCCGUUGUUUCACUGAAAAUGGCUUUCGAAAAAUAAUUUCUAGAAAAUGACUUACUUUCCUAGAAAAGUUAAUAUUUUCUGAUGUUUGGAUGAAUCAGUGUAAAAUAUUUUAUAUUGUUUGACAAAUUUCUUAAAAAUAUUUCAUAAAAGCUGUUUUCAAUGAAACAAACAUGCAUUUGAGAUUUUCUUAUCUUUUCAUUGUUUAAUUAAGUUUAUCUUAUAUCUAUAAAUUUAUAUUUUACAUUUUUUUGCAUAUAAUAAAAAUAUAUAUUUUUUAAUUCAGGUUCACUACCAUGUCACUUUUUAGUUACAUGACUACCAAGUGAGUAUUUUUUUUAUUUAAAAAUGUGACAUCAACAAAAUUGACAAAAAAAAAAUUUAGCAAUGUCAACAAUUGGACUUGAUUUUCAAAUCUGAAAAGUAGAGGGACUAAAUUCUUGAAAAUAAAAGUAUAGAGACUAAAUUGAAAAUUUGUGAAGAAUACAUAGACUUAUCACAUUUUUUAACUUUUAUACUACAAAAUAUUUAUCAUUAAUAUAUUUAUAAUUAUAAUAAAUAUUUAUUAUUAAAAUAUUAAUAUUAAAUAUUUUCAAUAAGAAGAAUAUUAUUUAAAAUUAUUUUUUUUAAUUUUUUAUUAAAAUAAAAUUGAAAUAUUAAAUAAUUUAUUAAAAUAAUUAAUUUUAUUAAUAAUUAAUUUUAUGACUAAAUAUAAAUAAUUAAAUAUGUGUGUUUAAUAAUAUUGAAAUAUAUAAUAUUUUAUAUUAAUAUUUUAAAUAUUUUUAAAAAUAAAAAUAAAAUUUAUUUUCAAUAUAAUAAUAUUAAUAUUGAUUUAAAUGAAUUUUUAUAUAAAAAUAAAAUUACCUAUAGAUGAGCUCUUUUCCAGAAAAUGACUUACACUUUUCAAAAGGAUAAGUCAUUUUAUAGGAAAAAGAGUUCAAUUUUACAUUGACCUGUAAGUCAUUUUCCGAUGACCAAAAUGUUUUCUGUAAAAUAAACAUAAGAAAAUGAAGAAAAUAUUUUCCGUAAAACCUUUUACAUGUAAACAAACGGACCCUUAAUUCAAGCUUGUUCUAACAUAACCCACUUCACUAUUAGCAUGACUCUUCCUUAUACUAUGUUUAACCAUUAACCCUUCUCAUGAUUUCUAACAAAAAUUCUCUAAGUUCUCUUUAAUGGAAACUUCUAUUAGCUUCAACAAUAAGAAAUUCUAACCAUUGGGUUGGUUGUAUCAAGUUUCAUAGUUUAAAAAACUAUAAAAAAAUUAUUUAGAAAACAAUUUGUUUACCUUUGAUGGCCUUGAUGGAGAACAACUUGGUUUCUUCUUCUACUUAGUUUAAAGAAUGCAUGAAGAAGAAGAAGAUUUCCCCUCUCCCUCUAUCUUAAAUAUAUAUAUAAAUAACCUAUUAAUCAAGGUAAUUAACUCACUAAUUAAUCUUAAUUAGUUAUGAUCUAAUGGCCAUAAACUUACCAUAAGAAAAUUAGUGGAAAUGUGUGGCAUUGAUAAUGGUUUGCCAAUAAUCAAACUUCGGGCAUGGUAAUAUUGCAAUCAGGUCCUUGGUUUAAUUACACUUUAAGUACUUGCUAAAUUCUCUAAUCAAUUCCCACUAGUUGGAUCACUUGAACAAUUGGGUCCAUGUAUUAUAGUUACAACUUAUCUAAUUUAAUCAAUUAAUGAUUUGACUUUAUAAUUUCAUGUGCAACACACAAACUCCUCCGGUAAAUUCUCAAGCUAGCUUUAUUUAAAAAUUUGGCCUCAAAACCAGCUUUCCAAAUGUUCAUGAAAAUUGAGUUGUUACAUUAUGGUAUUUGUUUUGUUCAGCUUAUUUGUCAAGCUCUAUUCCUUUGAACUUAUGUUCGUUGACUUUGGUGUUGCUUAAAUGAAAAUGUGGUGAACAAUAUUAUGGAUAGGAGGAGUGUAUGAUUGAGUAUGUGUAACACCCCUAACCCACAUCCUUCGCCAAAUUAAAGUGACAGAGUGUUAUUAUUCAAAACAGAACAUUCCAUGACAACACAUAAACAAUUAUGCAAAUUAUCACAAUCAUUAAUUAACCAUAUUAAAAUAUAACAUAAGUAUCCAUACGACCUUUAAAUCGAGCUUAUAUGGCCUUAAAAAUAGCUUGGGAUCAAUCUAGGAUCAAUUUGGAACAUAACAUAAAUUUUAAGAAAAAUCUAAAAAUUUUGGGAAACAUGGGUCACACAACCGUAUGUCCAGGCCGUGUGACAUAGCCCAGACCUUGUGGGAAUUCAAAAUCAGGACACUCAAUCAUGUCCUAGCCCGUAUGUCUACCUGUGUGAAUAUUUGAAAUAGGGUCCCACAGUCGUGUCGCGGCCAUGUGCUAAACCGUGUAUAUAUUCAAAUUAUGAACACAUGGCCGUGUCGCAAGCCAUGUGCUAGACCGUGCUCAAAACUAUUUUGAGACACACAGCUGUGCCUUAGGCUGUGUGAAAUUUUCACUUUAGACAACGACACACAGCCGUGUGCCAGACCAUGUACACCAAAAUGUACCUUAAAAAUCAAAUUUACCAAAACAUGUUUACUUAGGCAUCAAGCAACCUAAUUACCAUCAAUCAAACUCAUUCAAAACACAAUUAAACAGGUUCAAAACAUCCAUCCUAAGUGCCUAGCCAUUGUGCCCUCAUUGACAUCAUAAUUCAAUAAUCAAAUCAAUCACAUUUAAACCAAGAUUUAAACAUUCAAAUUAUAAAAUCAUCAUUAACCAUUCAUACCAAAACACUGAUCAUUUCAAGUCAUAAACACCUAGCAAUAUUCACAUACUUUAUAAAGCUUAACUACCAAUACCAAAUAAGAUCCAUACACACAUACAUACCAAACAAAACACAUAUUCACAAGUAUCAUUCAAGAUUUACAACUUUACAUGUAAUUAACAUAAUUUCAAGUCAAUUAUUACAUGUCAUACAACCCAAAACAAACACUAAACAAACUACCAAUAGUUUCUCGAAUAGUGUGAUUCUUGAAAUCAAAUUGAUCACCCGAAGCGUCAAAAAUAAAUCUACAAGAAAGCAUUGGAAGAGACACAAGAGUAAGCUUACUUAAGCUUAGUAAUUUCCAUGGAUUUAAACAAUCAACUUACCGGAUAAACUUAUCUAAUAUAGAGUAUAGAAAAGUCAUAAAUCAUAAUCAUGUCAUCCAUAAUCAGAUCACGAGUGAGUCUUAAACUUAAAUAUGAAUGAAUUAAUUCAAUCAAUUACAUUAUAUCACUAAAUUAUACCCGAUGAACGUUGCAAUGGAUUUGGAUACACAGUUAACCAACCAAACACUCCAAAUCACUCAAAUGAGCUAGCCAUCUGAAAGUACACAUGGGCACCAAGUGCCAAGCCCAUAGGCUAACAUCCCUCCGAAACACACCUUGUCACCAAGUGCCAAGCCCGUAAGCUUUACAUCUGCCCCAGAAACACACCUGAAGCACUGCAAUAUAACGUAAUAGUUCGCAACAAAUGUUGAACUUCAAUAUAUUCAAUAAACAUGAAUAAGAUCAGAAUCAUCAUCUCCACAUCCACCAAUCUCGUAAAGCGCACGAUAUAACUUAUUGACAUGCCAAUUGUAUCCUAUCAUACAUUCAUCGGCUCACAUAUUUGUCAUUUAACAACAUUUAAUACAAUUUCUUUCCCAAAUCAUUUCACUUACCACAAUUCAAUACUUCCAUGUCAUUUAAUAAUUUCAAUCCACAAGUAAUUAAAUAUUUAAAUUAUACUAAAAUUAAACUGUACAAACUCACUAGGGCCAAAUUGCAGAAACAACAAAAGUUCAGGGACUAAUCAACAACCUUCCCUUUUUCCACAAUUAUCAACUUGAUCUUGAUCUAUAAUAUAAUUUAUUUCAAUUAUUAGCCUCAAUUUUCAUAUUCUAAUCAUUUCAAAACAUAUGAUCUCUUAUUUAUAAAUUUACACAUUUAUCCCAAAUUUUUACAUAUUAUACAAUUUAAUCCCUAUGACCAAAUCAAGCUUAGUUCUACAAUUAAAUUCUCAAUCCAUAGAACUAAAUUUUAACCACAUCCAAAACAAUCCAUAUAUGCUAAAAUUUUCAAGAGUAACAUGUCUAUUUCAGUUAAAUCACUAAACAUCAAAUUUUGUAAAAAUCACUUACAAACUCAAUACAUAUGGUCACCAAGCUUCAACCCAAACUAUUUACUACUACAAAUCUUCGAAAAUUUCAAUACAUAAUUUCUAUACUUUGAUAACUUCACAAAUAAACUCCAAAACUAGCUAAAUUCCAUUAUCAAUAGCUCAAAACUUAAAAUUUGAUGAUGAAUAAACCAAGAAAAUACUUACAUGCAUUAAAAACUAACAAAAACCAAGAUCCAAGCCUUAGAACAAUGGUGUUUCGGCCAAACCUAAGAAAAAUAAAGAAGAUGACCACUACCCCACUUUUGUUUUACUUUCCUUUUAUUAUUAUAAUAAUCUUUAUUUAUGAAAUUAUAACAUUAUAAAACACCAAUUUAAUUUUUUUUCUCUCUUUACCGCCCAUAUUAACUAACUAUGGGCUAAUGGCAACAUAACCUCCCUUAGUUUACUAAUUUAAGCUAUUAUAUUAAAAUAAAUCUAUAAUAAGCAACUUUUCCACCUAUUACAUAUUAAUCUUUUUUCUUUAAUCAAUUCACUAUACGUUAAAUUUUCUAAACCAAAACUUAAUACGACACUGAUGACUUUGUAAAUAUUAAAUAAUUAAUAAUUCUAGACUGACACGUCGAAAGUGUAGUCCUAAAACUAUUAUUUUCGACACCACUGGAAAUCGAACUGUUAUAGUAUGAUUCUACCUCUUAGGGGGAGACGUAUUCUAGUUUCCUUUGACUUGUUUAGAUGAUGUGUUAAUCAUUUGCUACUGGUUUUGUCAAAAUGCCAAAUGGUGAGAUUGUUUCAAACUUUGUUCAUGUUCGAACAUUAGAUUAAACAAUGCUUAAUUUGAUGCAUUCAAAGAAUUUAUGUUGGCAUGUUUGACUUUAUAAUGAAAUGGCUUAUGAUUUAAUCUCGUUGAGUAGCAAAUGGGGAAGUGAUUUUGUGUUAUAACAUGUGAUGAUCAUUAUCUUUCAAUCAACUACCUUGAAGAAGAAUGGGAGGAGUUUGAACUUUUGUGGACUUUCGUAAUAUUUGAAGCUGCUAAGAUACUUGUUUAUAAAGACUUUUAUGAUAUAACUAAUCAAAAUAAUUCAUGUCAGAAUUUUUGGAGUUUUAAACUUAUGAAGACUCUAGUAUUGGCCUAUAAAUAGGCAUAAUUACCGCACAUUGAAAAUAGGCUUUUGGAGGGUUUAAGUUGGAUGCUUUGGUGAAUUUUUCCUGUGUUUUAUACAACACUCUUUUUUAAGUUUUUAUUGGGGGAUAUUUGCUUGAUUGUAAGUGAGAUAUUUUGGAGAGAGUGAUUUGUAAUAAUUUAGGUUCAAUAUUGAAGUUGCAAAUAACUACAAGGUAAUGGUAAUUUGGACUCUAGUCAAUAGUUAAUCAAGACGAAUUGUAAAUAAAAAUUAUUUUUUAAGUGAAACUUUACAGAAUAAAACUAGUGAACUCAAACUACGCUAACAAAUAUUAUAUACUAUCUUUCCUUACUUUACUCGUUGCUUUACCUUAUUUUAAAAUUGCUUUGUCAUAAAUGUAUUAUGUUUGACCCUUUCCGAUCGAAAUAAAAAAAUGAGAUUGAAAUUGUGAUAAAGCUAAAAAAAAGUUACAACAAAUAUGAUUAAUAUUAUUUUUAUAUAUACUUACUAAAAUUUAAAAAGGAAUUACAUUUAUCGAAUAUUAUUUUAUUUAAUAAAUAUAAUUAAUAUAUUUUAUAUAAAAUUUAAACUUUUUAUUAUUUGUUAGCUAAAUUUUAUUAUUUUUAUUUUCUUUAUGAAUAAAAUUAAUUUUCCUAAAAUUUGAGAUAAAAAAAUGUUAUAUAGAAAAUUAAAUUAGUAAAAAGUGCAGUUCAUACUUUAUAAUUAUUAUAAAUGAAAAAAUAUUAUAAAAGAUAAAUAUUAAACAUAAAAAAAUCAAUUCUAAAAUAAACUUAACUAUUAUAAUAAAAUAUUUUUAUAUAAAAAAGAAAUUAUAGAAAAGACUUACUGAUUAUAUUUCCAAUUUUCGACAUUCAUAAAAAAAAAGUGGUCCUAAUAAUUUAUUUAUACAAAAAAAAAAGUGGUCCUAUUAAUUAACCUCACAUUUGAAAUGUGUUAUAUGUAAUAAUAUUAAUAUCUUUAUCAAUUUUGGAGGUUCAUCCUUUCCCAUCUCUAUAAAUUCGCAUGGAGAAAUAAAGCAAUACAUCAACACAAUCUGUAUAACCAUGAAAACCACAACAGCUUCAGUGUUUCUUCUUUUCAUCAUCUUCUCAGUCACACCAUCAUCCUUUUUGUUUGGUGUAGCCAACGCUACAAACGAACCUGUACUCGACUUUGAUGGCAACGAGGUUCAAACAGGCACCCCAUAUUACGUUGUGUCGUACAUAUGGGGUGCUGGUGGUGGGGGGCUUGACCUAGGCAGGCCUAGUGGAAACCCAUGCCCGGAAGUCGUUGCUCAAAGAGGAUCCGGUGACAAUGGUAUUCCGGUGAUAUUUUCUAAUUCGGACUCCAACGAUGGCGUUGUUCGCCUAUCCUCUGACAUAAACAUAGAGUUCAUUUCCCUCAGACCCAAACUUUGCCGAACAACAACAGUGUGGAAGGUCGAUGAUUACGACCAUUCAGCCGGAAAAUGGUGGGUGAUAACCGAUGGGGUUAAAGGGAACCCAGGUGCCAACACUUUGACCAGUUGGUUUAGAAUAGAGAAGGUGGGUACUGAUUUUCAAUAUUACACAUUUAAGUACUGCCCCGCAGUAUGUGGAACAUGCCCAGCCUUAUGCAACCAAAUUGUGAGAGACUUUGAUGGAGAAAUGGUACGUUUGGCUCUCACCACUGGCCAUGGAUGGCCAUUUAUCUUUAAGAAAGUUGGAAAAUCAGCCAUGGAGAUUGAACAAGUUGUUCAUAAUUAGAUUGAAAGCAAUCAUUAUGCAUGAACUAGUAGUUACUACAUAAUAUUAGCUUCAAGUAAAUAAUGCUGAGGGAACUUAUUGUUAAGAUUGCCUUGUUUGAAGCGGCAGCAUGUAUAUAUAUAUGCUUGCUUACAAGGUUUGUCUCUCAGAGUCCUCCUCUUUGUACUCUUUUCAGCUUAAUGAAUAAACUGUUUACUUAUUUACUUCUUUUGUUGCCAUUGAUUCUAGUAGCAUUCGACUCAUUAACUUGGAUACAUUACCUUGUAAUUAACCAAAAAGUUAUGUGUAUAUAUAUAAAGAGUGUGUGAGAGAAAAAAUAGAAUACCAAGUACCAAGUGAAAAAUGUUAAUACUAGGAUUAUUCAAAGCGAUUUCAAUGAACAGAAAUGGAAUAGUCGUCGGGUGGUUAGGGCAUUUUAUCUUUAGAGAUAAAGAAGGUUGGUUCAUGUUCGGAGUUUGUGGCUACUCCUUCAAUAAUAUCGUUUUUAAAGUUUAAACUUGUAUCACAUUUUAAACACGUAAUGUAUCUUACCAUUACAUCCAACAAUAUUAACCAUUUACUCUAUUGUAUUGUAUUGUAUUCUAUUAUUAAUUAAUGAUUAUGAUAUGUAUUAAGUUUAAGAUGAAUUUUCUCAGUAAUAUAUAUCAAUGGAAUCAAAUAUUUGUAUUUAAAGUUUUAACUCCACAUUAACUUUUUCUUUAUUUUGUCCGUUUGCUGGCGAUGAUUAGGAGAUUAAUGGUUGGUAUUUGUGGUUAGUAGGUUAUAACUCAAUAGUGAACUCGAGGGUUGAUAGUGGCCCGACUCCACUUAAAUAAAAAAUUUUACAUUUAAAUCUCUUUAUAAUUUAUAAAAUUUUAAAUUAAUAAUAAAAAAAUUAUAUUUUAACUCUCUAAAAUUAAUAAAAAUGAUAAAAAUGUAGAAGUAAAUUUAUACAAUUAAUGAUAAUAAUGAUAAGAAGUUGUUUCCUGUCACAUGGAAAUUUAUGGCAUCGUCCAUUUGGUUUUAUAUUUGUCCAUUUGCUUGGUUAAGAGUUGAAAGACAAACUAUAAUUAAGUAUACAAAACCAAACGAAUUUCAAGGGUUUUCUCUUCAAUUAUUGUCGAAUUUAGCUAAUUAUUAGUAAUUUUUAUUAUUUAAUUAUAAAAAUUAUAAAAUAAUGACUUAAUUAUAAGAAUUAUAAAAUAGUGACUUAAUUAUAAAAAUAUAUAUAAAUAGCCAUCUAAUUAUUUAAUUUUUUUUCUUUUUUAUCAUCACCGGAUUAAUGGUGGUAAUUUUUAUAAUUGACAUAAUAGUAACUUUAACCAUUAAUAAUUAUACAUUAUGUCAAUUUAGUCUUGAUUCUAAAAAAUUUAACCUUUGACAUUUACACAUAUAUAAUUUGACAUUUUUAUAAUUUUAUUUUUUACUAAAAAUAAAUCAUGAAAAUAAUAAAAUAUGCAUAAAAAUAAAAAUACAGCUACCGAGUAUAUGUCUUAAUGUAGAUUUAUAACAAUUAUCUUUUCAUAAAGAUAUUUUAUUAUAAAAUAUAUAAUAAGCACUUCCCUGUAACAAAUAAAAUUGUAGUAAACAAAUGAAAUUAUUAUAAAGAAGAAUUUUCUAUUUUCAUAAUAAUAAUAAUAAUAAUAAUAAUAAAAGAAAAGAAAAAAGUGGUUCUAUUAAUUCACCUCACAUUUGAAAUGUGUUAUAUGUAAUAAUAUUAAUGUCUUUAUCAAUUUUGGUGGUUCAUCCUUUCCCAUCUCUAUAAACACUACACCAGAAUAGGUUUUUAGCGGCGUUUUUUAGGCCUUUAGCGACGCUUAUUAACGCCACUAAAUCUAUUUCCGGCACUUACAAAAAAAAGCCGCUAAAGAUCAUGUUCUUUAGCGGCGCUUAGGAAAAAACGCCGCAAAAAAUCAUGUUCUUUAGCGGCGCUUAGAAAAAAACGCCGCUAAAGAUCAUGUUCUUUAACGGCGCUUAGAAAAAAACGCCGCUAAAGAUCAUGUUCUUUAGCGGCGCUUUGGAAGAAAACACCUCUAAAAGUAAUGUUCUAUAGCGGCGCUUGUUCAAAAACGCCGCUAAAAGUAGUGUUCUUUAGCGUCGCUUGUUUCACAAACGCCACUGUUUUGAUAUGACUUUUAGCGGCGCUUUUUUAAAAAAUGUCACUAAUUUUGGGAUUUUUUUAAAAUAAAAUUUUCUGUUUUUUUCAGCCCUCCUGCAACAACAAAUCAAAAGCAACCAGAUCUAAACUAACCAAAAAUAAUAAAUUUAUAUAAUAUUUCAAAUUAAAUGAAUAAAAUAAUAUUAAUUGAUAUAAAUAAAAGUGAAUUUCAGACUUUUCUUUACAAAAACGUUAAAAGUAUUUAUGCAACAUACACUAUGACGGCGGAAGUUGCGACUGCUGAAACAUCUUCAUCAUAAUCUAAAGCUGCUGUUGAAGUUCGUCGUACUUUUUGCUCUACUUUGCUUCUCUCGAUGCCGCAUCUUUUUGAAGCCGUAGCUGUAGUUCUUCACAUUUCUUUUGAACCUCUGCUUCUAUCGCUGCUUAUCUCGCUACGGCAUCUGCUUCCCUCACUGCUGCCUCUGAUUUAAGUUGUUGCUGAAGUUCUUCAUAUUUCCUUUGAACCUCAAAUGUGGUCGCUUGCAUCUGAGUCAUCUAGUCUUUUAACCUCUGAACUUCAGCUUGAGACUGACUCCCCGAAGCCAUGUAUUGGUGCGAGCUGGAUCCAAAAUAUUGGGUUGGGCUGAUAAAAGAUCCUUGAAAUCGAACCCGACCAUACUUUUCAGGACCCAAAACUUUAGUAAUAAUCCGGUUAUCAAUGUCUUCAAGAUGAAUAGAACUAUCACUAGAAGCAAUCGUUUCGUACUCUGUCUUUUUUUCCUUCAGUUUUUCCUAAUAAAUAAAUCACAUAGUUAGGAACGCAAUAUAUAGUAAAAAAAACAAAUGCAAUAUAACAAUAGUCGCAUUACAAGCAAUGAAUUAAACCAUUAGAAAAUAAACACUAUAAAUAACUAAAACAAGUGAAAUCGUAUUAAGUAAACGUACCAUAAUUUCACCAGCUUCAGGAGUCAUAGCAGAUCCAUCUUUCUUCUUAUGUGUAAUUUCAAAAAGUUGAAGGCGUCCAACUUUUUGAUCGGACGACCGUUCCUACAACACUCUUUUUUAAGUUUUUAUUGGGGGAUAUUUGCUUGAUGUAAGUGAGAUAUUUUGGAGAGAGUGAUUUGUAAUAAUUUAGGUUCAAUAUUGAAGUUGCAAAUAACUAUAAGGUAAUGGUAAUUUAGACUUUAGUCAAUAGUUAAUCAAGACGAAUUGUAAAUAAAAAUUAUUUUUUAAGCGAAACUCUACAGAAUAAAACUAGUGAACUCAAACUACUGAACUCAAACUACGCUAACAAAUAUUACAUAUUAUCUUUCCUUACUUUACUUGUUGCUUUACCUUAUUUUAAAAUUGUUUUGUCAUAAAUGUAUUAUGUUUGAACCUUUCCGAUCGAAAUAAAAAAAAUGAGAUUGAAAUUGUGAUAAAGCUAAAAAAAGGUUACAACAAAUAUGAUUAAUAUUAUUUUUAUAUAUACUUAAUAAAAGUUAAAAAGGGAAUUACAUUUAUUGAAUAUUAUUUUAUUUAAUAAAAUAUAAUUACUAUAUUUUAUAUAAAAUUUAAAUAUUUUAUUGUUUGUUAGUUAAAUUUUAUUUUUUUUUAUUUUCUUUAUGAAUAAAAUUAAUUUUCCUAAAAUUUGAGAUAAAAAAUGUUAUAUAGAAAAUUAAAUUAGUAAAAAGUUAAAAAAAUCAAUUCUAAAAUAAACUUAACUAUUAUAAUAAAAUAUUUUUAUAUAAAAAAAAAGAAAUUAUAGAAAAGACUUAUUGAAUAUAUUUCCUAUUUUCGACAUUCAUAAAAAAAAAAAAGUGGUCCUAAUAAUUUUUUUAUACAAAACAAAAAAAAGUGGUCCUAUUAAUUUACCUCACAUUUGAAAUGUGUUAUAUGUAAUAAUAUUAAUAUCUUUAUCAAUUUUGGAGGUUCAUCCUUUCCCAUCUCUAUAAAUUUGCAUGCAGAACUAAAGCAACACAUAUCAACACAAUCUGUAUAACCAUGAAAACCACAACAGCUUCGGUGUUUCUUCUUUUCAUCAUCUUCUCAAUCACACCAUUGUCCUUUUCGUUUGGUGUGGCCAACACUUCAAACGCUCCUGUGCUCGACAGUGAUGGCAACGAGCUCCGCACAGGCACCCCAUACUUCGUUGUGUCGUCGAUAUGGGGUGCUGGUGGUGGGGGGCUUGCCCUAGGCAUGCCUAGAGGAAAGCCAUGCCCGGAAGUCGUUGCUCAAAGAGGAUCUGGUGACGAUGGUAUUCCGGUGAUAUUUUCUAAUUCGGACUCCAACGAUGGCGUUGUUCGCCUAUCCUCUGACAUAAACAUAGAGUUCAUUCCCCUCAGACCCAGAUUUUGCCAAACAACAACGGUGUGGAAGGUCGAUGAUUACGACCACUCAGCCGGAAAAUGGUGGGUGAUAACCGAUGGGGUUAAAGGGAACCCAGGUGCCAACACUUUGACCAGUUGGUUUAGAAUAGAGAAGGCGAGUCAUCUUGAUUACACAUUUAAGUACUGCCCCGCAGUAUGUGGAACAUGCCCGGCUUUAUGCAACAAAAUUGCGAGAGACUUAGAUGGAGAAAUGAUGCGUUUGGCUCUCUCCACUGACCAUGGAUGGCCAUUUUUCUUUAAGAAACUUCAAACAUCAGCCAUGGAGAUUGAACAAGUUGUUCAUAAUUAGAUUGAAAGCAAUCAUUAUGCAUGAACUAGUAGUUACUAUACAAUAUUAGCUUCAAGUAAAUAAUGCUGAGAGAACUGAUUGUUAAGAUUGCCUUGUUUGAAGCAGAAGCAUGCAUAUAUAUAUGCUUGCCUACAAGGUUUGUCUCUCAGAAUCCUCUUUGUACUCUUUUCAGCUUAAUAUAUAAACUGUCUACUUAUUUACUUCUUUUAUUAAUGUCAUUGAUUCUAGUAGUAUUAGACUCAUUAACUUGGAUACAUUGUCUUGUAAUUAACCCAAAAAUUAUAUAUAUAUCAAAAAAAAAAAUGAGAGUGAGAGAGGAAAAUAGACUACCAAGUAACAAGUGAAAAAUGGUAAUACUAGGGUUAUUUAGAGUGGUUUCAAUGCACAACCGGAAUGAAUUGUUACCUUAUCUUUAGAGUCAAAGAAGGGUUCGUGACUAGUCUUUCAACAAUACUAUUUUCAAGGUUCAAACCUGCAUUAUCCUUUAAAUACGUAAUGUAUUUUAUCAUUACGCUCAAUAUUAUUAGUGAUUUACUUUAUUCUAUUCUUAAUUAAUAAUUAUGAUAUAUAUAAAGUUUAAGAUGGAUUUUCUUAUUUAUGUAUAUCAAUUAAAUCAAAUAUUUGUAUUUAAAGUUUUAACCCAACAUUAACUUUUUUUUUAAAAAUUUCUUCGUUUGUUGGUGGUGAUUAGGAGAUUGAUGGCCGGUCUUUGUGAUUGGUAGCUUUUAACACAAUGGCGAAGCUAAGGAGGCUUUAAAUGUUUAAAUGAAUAUUUUUUUCAAUUGAAAUUUCUUUAUAAUUUAUAAAAUUUUAAAUUAAUAAUGAUAAAAUUACAUUUUAAUUUUUUAAAAAUGAUAAAAACGUGGAAGCACAUUUGUACGAUUAAUAAUAAUGAUAAUAUUUUUCCUACCACAUGGAAGUUUAUGGAAACACCAUUGGGUUUUGUAUUUAUGUUUUAUUCGACACUCUUAUAAGUUUUACUGGGGAGAUUUGUUUGAUUGUAAGUGAGGUAUUUUGCGGAGAGUGAUUUAUAAUAAUUUAAAAUUAAUAUUGGGGUUACAAAUAACUAUGGGAGUAAAGUAGUUUAGACUUUAGCUAAUAAUUGAUCAAGAUGGAUUGUAGAAUAAAAUCAUUUUCGAAGCAAAAUUUUAUAAAAUUAGUAAAUCUGAAUUAUUCUAUAAUAUUGAUAUUAUCUUUCUUCACUUUAGCCCUUGCUUCACCUUAUCUCAAAAUUAUUCUAUAAUAAUCUAUUUUGUCUCAACCUUUUCAACAGAAUUUAAAAUGAAACUAUUUCUAUGAAGUGCAAACCAAAAACUUUUUCACAUACCAAUAAAUGGCAAGCAACCAUACCGUGGGCCCAAUGUCCCAACAAUCAUCUAAACAUUUUUUUUUUCUUUUUUAAAUAAUAUGUAAUAAUUUAUAUACCAUAAAUGAAUAUUAAUUAAAAUAAUAUAAACAAAAUACGACUCUUUAAUAUAAUAUGGAUCCAAAAUGUUUCAUAUUUGAAAUGCAGUUUUUGAUAAUUUCACAUUUCAUAUUUUAUCUUAGAACAAAAAGAAAAUUUGAACUUAAUAUUUGGACUAUUGAUCAAUGGUGUUUAUUAUAUUUCAAGACUAUCAGAUUAAUCUGUCGAUACUACUUAUAUGGUAUGGUUUAAAUGGGUGUGUGUGGAUAUAGAAAUUUGAAAUUCUAUUGUAUCAAAGAAAUUUUUUUUAAAAAUAAAAUAAAAAGGAAUUUGAAAUUUAAAAUUUGAGAUCAAAAUAAAAAAAAUGAGACUUGUUAUAAACCAUAAGGCUCAAAAAAGGUUACAACAAAUAUGGUUAAUAUUAUUUUUAUAUAUACUUAAUAAAAGUUUAAAAUAUCAAAUUUGUAAUAUUAUUUUUAUUUAAUAAAAUAUAAUUAAUAUAUUUUAUAUAAAAUUUAAAUAUUUUAUUGAAAUAUUAUGUUAGGUAAAUUUUAUUAAUUUUAUUUUCUUUAUAAAUAAAAUUAAUUUUAUUAAAAUUUGAGAUAAGAUAAUUAAAUUAAUAAAAGGUAUACUUCAUAUUUUAUAGUUAUUAUAAAUAAAAAAUUAUUAUAAAAAUUAAAAAAAAAGAAUUCUACAACAUAAUGAAAUAUUUUUAUUAAAAAAAACAGAAAUGAUUGAUGGAAUAUAUUUCCAAUUUUCGACGUUCAUUAAAAAAAAAAGAGUGGUCCUAAUAAUUGAUUUAUUGGGGAAAAAAAAGUGGUCCUACUAAUUUACCUCACAUUUGAAAUGUGUUAUAUGUAAUAAUAUUAAUAUCUUUAUCAAUUUUGGAGGUUCAUCCUUUCCCAUCUCUAUAAAUUCGCAUCGAGAAAUAAAGCAAUACAUCAACGCAAUCUGUAUAACCAUGAAAACCACAACAGCUUCAGUGUUUCUUCUUUUCAUCAUCUUCUCAGUCACACCAUCAUCUUUUUUGUUUGGUGUAGCCAACGCUACAAACGAACCUGUACUCGACAUUGAUGGCAACGAGGUUCAAACAGGCACCCCAUAUUACGUUGUGUCGUCCAUAUGGGGUGCUGGUGGUGGGGGGCUUGCCCUAGGCAGGCCUAGCGGAAACCCAUGCCCGGAAGUCGUUGCUCAAAGACGAUCCGGUGACGAUGGUAUUCCGGUGAUAUUUUCUAAUUCGGACUCCAACGAUGGCGUUGUUCGCCUAUCCUCUGACAUAAACAUAGAGUUCAUUCCCCUCAGACCCAAACUUUGCCGAACAACAACGGUGUGGAAGGUCGAUGAUUACGACCAUUCAGCCGGAAAAUGGUGGGUGAUAACGGAUGGGGUUAAAGG